AGCUUGCUGGGUGGAUUAGUGGCGAACGGGUGAGUAACACGUGAGUAACCUGCCCUUAACUCUGGGAUAAGCCUGGGAAACUGGGUCUAAUACCGGAUAGGAGCGUCCACCGCAUGGUGGGUGUUGGAAAGAUUUAUCGGUUUUGGAUGGACUCGCGGCCUAUCAGCUUGUUGGUGAGGUAAUGGCUCACCAAGGCGACGACGGGUAGCCGGCCUGAGAGGGUGACCGGCCACACUGGGACUGAGACACGGCCCAGACUCCUACGGGAGGCAGCAGUGGGGAAUAUUGCACAAUGGGCGCAAGCCUGAUGCAGCGACGCCGCGUGAGGGAUGACGGCCUUCGGGUUGUAAACCUCUUUCAGUAGGGAAGAAGCGAAAGUGACGGUACCUGCAGAAGAAGCACCGGCUAACUACGUGCCAGCAGCCGCGGUAAUACGUAGGGUGCGAGCGUUAUCCGGAAUUAUUGGGCGUAAAGAGCUCGUAGGCGGUUUGUCGCGUCUGUCGUGAAAGUCCGGGGCUUAACCCCGGAUCUGCGGUGGGUACGGGCAGACUAGAGUGCAGUAGGGGAGACUGGAAUUCCUGGUGUAGCGGUGGAAUGCGCAGAUAUCAGGAGGAACACCGAUGGCGAAGGCAGGUCUCUGGGCUGUAACUGACGCUGAGGAGCGAAAGCAUGGGGAGCGAACAGGAUUAGAUACCCUGGUAGUCCAUGCCGUAAACGUUGGGCACUAGGUGUGGGGACCAUUCCACGGUUUCCGCGCCGCAGCUAACGCAUUAAGUGCCCCGCCUGGGGAGUACGGCCGCAAGGCUAAAACUCAAAGGAAUUGACGGGGGCCCGCACAAGCGGCGGAGCAUGCGGAUUAAUUCGAUGCAACGCGAAGAACCUUACCAAGGCUUGACAUGUUCUCGAUCGCCGUAGAGAUACGGUUUCCCCUUUGGGGCGGGUUCACAGGUGGUGCAUGGUUGUCGUCAGCUCGUGUCGUGAGAUGUUGGGUUAAGUCCCGCAACGAGCGCAACCCUCGUUCCAUGUUGCCAGCACGUAAUGGUGGGGACUCAUGGGAGACUGCCGGGGUCAACUCGUAGGAAGGUGAGGACGACGUCAAAUCAUCAUGCCCCUUAUGUCUUGGGCUUCACGCAUGCUACAAUGGCCGGUACAAUGGGUUGCGAUACUGUGAGGUGGAGCUAAUCCCAAAAAGCCGGUCUC
rnacentral:rRNA from 1 species